CCAAGUGCUGCAGGCGCAACACCUCCAAGGUAUCCACACGUGUAGGGAGGAAGCGUCGCAAGCCGGACUGCUAGAUCCGUGAGUUGCAACAGGCGAGGGCGUGGGAGGCACGGCAGAUGUGUUUUGCCAAAAGGUGUAAACCCUAGGGCGUUCCACCCCUCUAUUUAUAGAGGUUCCUAACGGGCCUCUGGGUCCGAGGCCCAUUAG
rnacentral:lncRNA from 1 species